rnacentral:piRNA from 1 species
GACGCUGCCAUGGCUGCAAGGCCCCAUU